ACUCUCGUCGCCAUUUUGUUUUUGGUGGUUUUUGUCUGGCUUCUUUACCGCAACCUGUUUUAUCAGCAAAGUCUUUAUAACCUGUAUUUUGUGCUGACCUCCUAUCUCAUCCUGUGACUUAGAAUGCCUUAACAACUGUCUGGAAUGCAGCCCGGUAUGCAUGGAAUUCUAUCUCUAUCCCUCCAAGAACUUUGUUUAAAUAAUUUUGCUUAAGAGGAAUGAAAUGUCCUUUUCUGUCAAGAUCUGUGGAGUGGCUGCAGCACCUGUGUUUCAGCCUGAAGAAUGGGCACAGAUAUUUCAUGAUUCUGAAGAAGAAUUGGAGGUGAGACUUGAGAAAAUGGAGAAAAAGAUAUGCUUUGGAUUUUCUUGAAGACUAGAAGCUUUCUUAACCAUCCACCACCUUGUUGACUGGUUAUUAUUCUCUCUACCUUCUGUGAAACAAACUGAUGGAUACUAAUGGCACAAUUACACUUAUAGCUAGUCAGUUGCAUAGUUUAUGCACAUAGUUCUGCUUCCAGUGUUUAGUAAUGAGUUAAACAUUUUGGCUAUAUUUGUCUCUGAAGCUAUAAUUUCAAUUAAUCAUUAUGUAUAGCAAUAAUAACAAGUAAAACAAAAAGAAGAAUUUUUUGUUUCUAUGGUAAUUAUGUUGGGUGCUUUGGAUCCUCCCAAUAAAGUUGACUUCCUAAAAUAAUUACACUUGAAUUAGGUAUAGAGAAGCUAAUUGUAACAAAUUGAAAGUUACUGUAAAUCUUCUAAUCGUAGUUCUCUGCAAGUGUACUUAAGUUAUUGCUCCACUUGAAAUAAAUGAAAACUGGAAAUCUGAGGUGAUGAAUUAUGGGUCCCUUUUAUGUAAGAAAGAUGACAAGGAAAUCUAAUCUGCUGAGUUAUACUAAAAUAAAAUACCUUGGCCUGGGAUCAAAUAUAGGUGAAAGAAUUAACAUUUAUGUUUUUUAAUUAAGAUAAAAUGUACAAGUUUUAUGUACAUAUUUUAUGAUUUCCUGAUAUAACAAAAAGUGUUGAUAAAAGCACCCAAUACUGAUUCUAAUGACAUUUGAUUAGCAUUAAAGAGUUGCUAU
rnacentral:lncRNA from 1 species